rnacentral:rRNA from 1 species
CAGUAGCCACGGGAAUACAGAGGGUGCAAGCGUUAAUCGGAAUUACUGGGUGUAAAGCGCGCGUAGGUGGUUUGUUAAGUUGGAUGUGAAAUCCCCGGGCUCAACCUGGGAACUGCGUCCAAAACUGGCAGGCUAGAGUAGGGCAGAGGGUGGUGGAAUUUCCUGUGUAGCGGUGAAAUGCGUAGAUAUAGGAAGGAACACCAGUGGCGAAGGCGACCACCUGGGCUCAUACUGACACUGAGGUGCGAAAGCGUGGGGAGCAAACAGGAUUAGAUACCCGAGUAGUCCCUGUCUCUUAUAA